UGGGGAAUCCUCCGCAAUGGACGAACGUCUGACGGAGCAACGCCGCGUGAGUGAUGACGGCCUUCGGGUUGUAAAGUUCUGUUAAUCGGGACGAAUGGUUCUUGUGCCAAUAGUGCGAGGAUUUGACGGUACCGGACUAGACAGCCACGGCUAACUACGUGCCAGCAGCCGCGGUAAUACGUAGGUGGCAAGCGUUGUACGGAAUUAUUGGGCGUAAAGCGCGCGCAGGCGGAUUGGUCUGUCUGUCUUAAACGUUCGGGGCUUAACCACGUGAUUGGAUGGAAACUGCCAAUCUAGAGUAUCGGAGAGGAAAGUGGAAUUCCUAGUGGAGCGGUGAAAUGCGUAGAUAUUAGGAAGAGCACCAGUGGCGAAGGCGACUUUCUGGACGAAAACUGACGCUGAGGCGCGAAAGCCAGGAGAGCGAACGGG
rnacentral:rRNA from 1 species